rnacentral:lncRNA from 1 species
CCCAAGGACCACUGAGGCGGAGGCCUCGGUCUUCUCUGGCUGUUCCCCUGGAGUCGGUAGUUUGGUGGCCUCCAACUUCACUAAAAUUCACGUCGCUGCUGCAGAAGGUGCUGUCUCCCCUAACUCUCUCCCAAGAGCAGCUGUGACUGUGGCCACUAUCUCCCCUAACUCUCUCCCUAGAGACGCUGCGGCAGUGGCCGAGGUUUUCACUGACCCUUCUCAAGUCACUGCGGGAGAAGCCGGCGUCUGCACUUAGGCUUCCUGCAGCGACCCUGGAGCGGCGGUCGCUCUCUUCACAUUUUCUUUCCCCGUCGUCGCUAACUCUUUCCCUAGACUCGGCGCCGGAAUGGCCGUGUAGACCGUUUAUCCUCCACACGUGGUGGCUAGUGCGGCGGCCACCGUCUUCGUCUGCUACUCCCUGCGAAUCGCCGUAGCGGCGGCCGCCUUCCGCUGGUACUUUCUCGGAGUCUCUUUCCAGCCUCCCGACUCCAGCCACUUGGCUGGAGAGGCAGCAGGGCCGUCGCCUUGGAAACGAGUACACUUCCGACGUGCUGAGGUCAUUUCCCGUUCCUCACGGCCCACGCUACUUCCGGUUUCCUUUCCCUCAGCUAUUCCAUGGCUUUUCGUGUGGACAAAUCGGGAGGUGGUGUAAACUGGUUUUUGGUGAAAUUCGGCUCGGCCUCAUGCGAACCUAUCUAGGUCCGUCUCUGGAGUGGCCUGUCAUCGAUCGCGCCCUCCAUCGCUGAGCGACACAAGUGGAACCCCCCAGGACUGCAUUCUGCGAAACUACCCUGCUUUUCCCCCAGUUUUGGUCUGUGAACACAUUUGGGAAAUUCUUCUGAUCCUACCGCUACUCUCUUGAGGUACAGUAAAUUGUCUUUGACUUCCAUCACCUUUUGUAAUAUUACAAUUGCCAUCUACUGAGUUCCUAUGAUCUGCCUGGCAUUGUACUAAGUGCUUUAUAUUUUCUUGUUCAUUUUUUUAUGCCAACAUAAAUGAGUUUGACUCAAUUCUUAUUAUAACCUGCCAAAAUAAGUAUUCCUCUUCCUUUUUACAGAGAGAGAAACAAGGGAAAAAAAAGUUAAUUGCCUGAGGAUAUACUGCUAGUGUUGCGGGACAAAUAGAGACGGGAGAGGCCAAACAGAAUUCAGGACAACCCUUUAUUAUUAAGGUGAUCACUGGCUCAGUCGGACUGGGGUCCAGAAAGUCUGAGCCCGGAACAAAGGGAUCAAUCACCUUUUAAGCAAUUUGUGGCGGGAGUUUGGUGCUACAGGAAGCCUACUUGCAGAAGCAAGAACAAAGGCAGUUAAUUAUUCUUUUACAUUUGUUACACCACAUGUCUUACAUCCUUGGGAAUGCAUGCUUUUGUAGCAAUUGCUUAUCAACCUUGUGACUUUACAGCGCGCUAGGGAGGGAAGCAGGAACUCGUGGUGCCUCAAGGAACGUGAAACGGUGGAACACAGAUAAGCCUCUCCGUGCGUAGAGGAGAAAUAAGCGGUUAAUAUUCUCUCUUAACCCAGGCCUCCGGAGGGUGGGGGGCUAUAUUUCAUUCUACCUCUAAGGAAAAGAAUAAACUUCUUGACUAAUAUACUUAUAAAAUUCAUUAAUUCCCCCUUCACUAGUAAAUAAUAAAUACCUGACUUAGGAUUCCAAAAUAGGUCUUGAAUUUUUCUGCAGGAGCUCCUCAAAGUCUCUGAAUUCCCACAACCUUUUAUUAGAUCACUUAUCCCAUUGUAUUAUAAUUAUCUGUUUAACAAUUUUUCCUCACCCCUAAAGGACCCUGAGCUUCUGGAAGGUAGGGACUGUAUCUUAAAAUCUUGGCAUUUCUGAUGUCUAGAAUAUUUCAUUUAAGAGAAGGGCUUAGUAACUGUUGUGUGGGUGGGUUGAUGAGUUAACUGUCAGGCAGGUGAACUAAUAGGCUGAAGAUAAAGUUUUUCACUGUUGGAAGUGAAUUUGGGAUUAGUCAUCCUAAUCCCCUCACUUUUAGAGAUGGGGCAACUGAGUCAUGCGCGGUGGCUCACGCCUGUAAUUCUAGCACUUUGGGAGGCCAAGGUGAGCGGAUCACCUGAAGUCAGGGAUUUGAGACCAGCCUGGCCAACAUGGCGAAACCCCAUCUCUACUAAAAAUACAAAAAUUAGCCAGGCAUGGUAGCAGGAGCCUGUAAUCCCAGCUGUUCGGGAGGCUGAGGCAGGAGAAUCACUUGAACCUGGGAGGCGGAGGUUGCAGUGAGUUGAGAUCGCGCAAUUGCGCUCCAGCCUGGGCGACAAGAGCAAAACUCCACCUCAAAGAAAAAACAAAACAAGACAUGGGGCAGCUGAGGCCUUUUGUAUACCAGGCAUUUAUCGAGUUAUUCAUGUGGGCCAGUUUCUGUGAUAAAUGAUUUGCAAAUAAUACCCAACUUAAUCUGUAUUGUUAUUUUUAUUUUUACAGAUGAAGAAACAGCUCAGAUUUGACCAAGAUCACACAAGUAGGAGUUGAGGAAUUGGAACCCACUAUGACUGACUCCAAAUUAAUAUAGUGUUUAUAGCCACUUACAUAAUAAUGGUAAAGGUUUUAUUUUUUUCACUAUACAAUAUGUAGUAGAUAAAUUUACUGAGGAAAUGAGACAGCACGUGACAAAUCCUUAAAGGAUACACACAUGACAGGAAGGAUUAGAAGAGGAAACAGAAACAGGUAACAGAGAAGCAGAAAAAGUAAAAUCUCCCAAAAUAAAAAUAGAAGGAAUUAAAAAUAAAAGCAGACUCCGGGUGCAGUGGCUCAUGCCCAGCACUUUGGGAGGCCGAGGCAGGUGAAUCACUUGAGGUCAGGAGUUUGAGACCAGCCUCGCCAACAUGAUGAAACCCUGUUUCUACUAGAAAUAAAAAAAUUAGCCAGGUGUAGUGGCGUGCACCUGUAAUUCUGGUUACUUGGGAAGCUAAGGCAGAAGAAUCACUUGAACCCGAGAGGCAGAGGUUGCAGUGAGCCAAGAUCAUGCCAUUGCACUCCAGCCUGGGUGACAGAGCAAGAUUAUAAAGUCUUCUCAAUAAAAUCGUCUCAAAAAUAAUAAAAAUAAAAGCAGAAGUUAAUGAAAUAGCAAAUAAAAUUGAUGAUAGUAAUUAGCUGGUGUUUGAAAAGAACAAUAAAUAGAAACUCAACAAAUCUGAGGAAGAAAAGGAAAAAAAAUGGUAUUGGAAACAAAGGAGCCCAUGGACGGAGGAUGGCUUGAGCCCAGGAGGUUGAGGUUGCAGUGAGCCAUGAUUGCACCACUGCACUCCAGCCUGGUCAACAGAGCUAGACACUGUCUCAGAAAAAAAAAAAGAAACAGGCCGGGCAUGGUGGCUCACGCCUGUAAUCCCAGCACUUUGGGAGACCAAGGCAGGCGGAUCAUGAGGUCAAGAGAUCGAGACCAUCCCAGCCAGCAUGGUGAAACCCCAUCUCUACUAAAAAUACAAAAAUUAGCUGGGCGUGGUGGCAGGCGCCUGUAGUCCCAGCUACGUGGGAGGCUGGGGCAGGAGAAUUGCUUGAACCCCCAGGAGGUGGAGGUUGCAGUAAGCCGAGAUCGCGCCACUGCACUCCAGCUUGGCGACAGAGUGAGAGUCCGUCUCAGGGAAAAAAAAAAAAAAAGGGCAAAGGGACAUCUUACAAAGGAGACUGUGAAAAUCAGAAAGAAAUUAUUUUGUAUAACAUUAUACACGUUGAGCACCCCUUAUCCAAAAUCUGAGAUUUUCAGUCCUUAUCCAAAAUCUGAAAUCCUUAUCCAAAAUCUGAGUGGCUGAGAUCACGCCACUGCACUCCAGCCUGGGCAACACAGCGAGACUCUGUCUCAAAAACAAUAAAGUGAGUGUGGUCCAGAAGAGAUUAAGAAGCUAAGAAAAGCACACUGGUUUUAGCAAGAAGUCAUUGAUAAUAAGAGUAAUUUUAAUAAAAAAGCUAAGAUGCAAUAUCCAGACUGCAUGGGAUUUCAAGGUAAGUGCCUGACUAUGGAAGAAAUUUUUUUUUCUUUUUUUUUUGAGACAGAGUCUCGCUGUGUCACCCAGGCUGGAGUGCAGUGGCGCAAUCUUGGCUUACUGCAAGCUGCCUCCUGGGUUCACUCCAUUCUCCUGCCUCAGCCUCUCCGAGUAGCUGGGACUACGGGCGCCCACCACCACGUCCAGCUAAUUUUUUUAUUUUUAGUAGAGACGGGGUUUCACCGUGGUCUCGAUCUCCUGACCUUGUGAUCCGCCCGCCUCGUCUUCCCAAAGUGCUGGGAUUACAAGCGUGAGCCACCGCGCCCAGCCUGGAAGAAGUUUCUUAAGUGAAACAGGGUUCAGAAUACAUCCUGGAGUGGUCAUCUCAGUAUUCUAGAGAACUGGAACCUUUUGUGAGUAGGAAGGAAGGUAUGAUUCCAGUUAGUAAAUAUGACUAGUCCUCCACUUCUACCUCAGUUUUUCUAAAGUGGGGUGAUAAAGCAGGAUAUCAUAAAUCAGCUUUUUAUAUCUUGUUUCAGAGAAGGGAGCAGGGCCAACCCCAGGCAAAAACAAAAAACGAAGUGGAUAUUGGUGACAGUCUGUACUCCUUUCUGCCUAUGUGCCAUUUUCUGUUAUUUCCCAGUCAUUCUUGUUCUUCUUUUGGUGCUCACUCCCAAAUCUUCACAGGGGUACUCCUUGGGUACCUUUUGGCUCUUAUUUAGCUACUCUUCCCCACCUGCUCAACACAAUGCCCAUUAUCUCUGGGAGCUGACCCCAUUUAGGAUUAGGAAAAAACUUCCCAAUUCUACAAGAGUGCAGGUCUUUCUUGAUAAUAGUCUUUAUUUUCCAUUUCUACCUCCAUUUAGGCAGCUACAUUUUUCCACCUGCAGCAUGGUUAGAUGCCUCCUCAGAUUUUCCUGAAUAUUUUGUGUAAACCUCCAUUAGGUUGCUUACUUGGUACUAAAUUGUAAGGUCAGUCAUAUAAAAAAUAUGUAUAUACUAAGCUGUUAUAUGAGAAUGUUUUAAUUUUUUAUAUGUAAUUCCUUAUUUUUCUUCCCAAAGCUUUUUAUUUUUAGCUGAAUUGCAAUGAGAUUGCUUUCUAUUUUCCAAAGCAUCAAAGUUGGACAUUUUCAGUGGGAAAAUUACACUAAAACCAGGAGGAUAUAAACUUAAUGAAAUCUUUAGAUUUUAGGAAACACAUACUUUUCCUUUUACUUGUUCUCUCAAACUUCAAUUCAAUUUAAAAGAAAAUGUUCCAUCAUCUCUGAGGCUUCAUUUAAUUUUCCUUACUGCACUUUACAGUGUUAGAUUACUACUUCUAGCUAACAGUGUUAUGUAUUGACUCUUUUUCUAUCUUUGGGGAUGCUGUUGAUGUUGAUUUCUGAAUUAUUUACCAGAUCUGGCUGUUCAUUAGAAAAAACUAUGGAGCUUGAAUACUAGAAGUGCCCCUGAAUGCGAAUCAACUAAAUGAGACUCUCCAGAGAUUAGGAAUCUCUUAAUAUUCACUAAUUCUAAGCCAGGUGUAGUGGUGUGCACCUGUAAUCUAGUUACUUGGGAGGCUGAGGUGGGAGACUGGCUUGAUCCCAGGAGUUCGAGGCCAGCCUGGACAACCUGGUAAGGCCCCAUCUCUAAAUUUAGUAUUAAAAUUUGUUUUAAAUUCACUAUAAUUCUAAUGCACAGCCAAAUAUGGGGCAGAUCUGGAUCACUGCCUUACAUCUGGCCUUCUACCUCAAAGAGAAAAUAAGAAUUGAACUCAAACCCAACUGUAAAUACUAGUGGCCAUCUUGGAGAACACUGGCCCACCUCCAUUCCAAAGCUAAAUCCUUCCUGUGCUUUUAUUUUUUUUGGCAGACAGUGUCCCUCUGGUUUUUCAUAUAUUUGGUAGCGACGGAGUUUCACCAUGUUGCCCAGGCUGGUCUUGAACUCCUACACUCAAGCAAUCUACCCACUUCAUCCUCCCAAAGUGCUGGAAUUACAGGCAUGAGCCACUGUGCCCCGCCCCUCCUGUGCUAUUGUUGAUACUAUCUUGUUACAACCUUGAGACUGGUAUACCGGUCAUCUCCAUCUUCAACCCAUUUCUCCACUGAGCUCCUCUUAACAUGCUAAUGCCUCUCCUAUUUGUCUAACUACAAUUCAAUCUCUGGAGUUAAACUUCAUUUAAAAAAAUAGCUUUUAAUAUUUUGUUACCUCUCAUCCACACUACCCAUUGCACCAGGUGUUGGCACCCAUACUCAGCUGUUCUUAGGUCAACAGUUAGAGUAUUUCUGAGUCUUACAUAUUUUCUUGACUUCAUUUUGUUGACUACCUCGUCCAUUGAAAUUUUCUUCCUGCGCACACCUGUAAUCCCAGCACUCUGGGAGGCCAAGACGGGCAGAUCACUUAAGGUCAGGAGUUCGAGACCAGCCUGGCCAACGUGGUGAAACCCCGCCUCUACUCAAAAUAUAAAAAUUAGCCAGGCGUGGUGGCGGGCACCUGUAAUCCCAGCUACUUGGGAGGCUGAGACAGGAGAAUCACUUGAACCCAGGAGGCAGAGGUUGCAGUGAGCCGAGAUUGUGCCACUGCACUGAGCCGAGAUUGUGCUACUGCACUGAUCCAGCCUGAGCAACAUAGCAAGACUGUCUCAAAAAAAGAAAAAAAAAAAUUUUCCCAUUGCUGGUUUUCCCAUUUUCUUUUUGACCUUCCCACCUACCAGUCUUUGUUCCCCCAUCCUUGACCCUCUUCUCCAUGUGGAUACCGUUGAUACACUUUUAGGUUUGAAUAUCACCUUCCUUUUAGAAUGUUCCAUACCUUUAAGCAUUUGAUAAAAGCUAUGGUGGUUUCCCCAGAAAAAUGUUCAACAGGAAGUUUUGCCUACAUUUUUGGAUUCACAGACCUCAGUUCCUAUGGCAGUGUUCAUAUACGUAAGUUCAGCUGUUACGUGUUUACAACUCAAAUCCAAUGGCUACCAGUUUUCCCACUGGACCUCUCUGGAUUUAGCAAUCUCUAAAAUUGUAUUCACUUGAUUCUUAAAAAAAUAAAAAAGCUUAAAUGCAGAUAGGAUGUCACCCUGUUUAAAAUUUCUAGUGGCUGCUCUGGUCAUCAGUUUAAUAAAAAUUCCUUAGCAUGACCAAGAAGGCUCUUCACUACUUAAAAAUAAAGGCUGGGCACGUGGCUCAUGCCUGUAAUCCCAGCACUCUGGGAGGCCAAGGCAGUAGGAUCACUUGAGCCCAGGAAUUCGAAACCAGCCUGGACUACGUAGUGAGACUCCAUUUCUACUAAAAAAAUUAAUGGCUCAUCAUAAUCUAUUCAAAACUACUGAGUUUUAACCAUAAGAAGUCAAUUUUUGAAAACACAAAAGUAUUUUAAGCCUUUACAUUUGCUGUUCAUUUUCCAAAGAUACCCUUCCCAUCAGUAUGGACUCCACUCCUGGUUAUCCUCCAAGACUCAAAUGUCACCACUUUUGUAGAAUCUUCCUUAGCCACCUUCCAGUAGUUUGGUGUGCUUAUUUCUAUCCUAACAAUCAAUUUGGGGGUAUCUUUUAAAAUUGCAGAAAUUGUAUGGAAUUAGAGGAAACAAAGCCACGUUCAAAUUCUUAUAAAAAUUUUAAAGUGAGUGGCUUAAUUUCAUCUGUAAAGUGGGGACACCAUCUACCAUGUAGUUAUUAGAUGUGAAUACCAGAGAAAAUACAUGUAGAAAGUGCUAGUGCCUGCCACAUACUAUGUGCUCAAUAAAACUCAGUGUUUUAUAUGCCUAUCUCCAAUAAAUGGCAGAAAAGACUAACCUGUCUCAGAGUGCCUGGCUCAUAGCAAGUACCAUGUUCAUGUUUCAAAAAACAGAUGAAAGACAACAAGAAAGUCACAUUCUAAAGCUUUUCAAGAAAUAAAGAAGUACAAACAAAG